rnacentral:rRNA from 1 species
AUUGAACGCUGGCGGCAUGCUUUACACAUGCAAGUCGAACGGUAACAGGGAGCUUGCUCCGCUGACGAGUGGCGAACGGGUGAGUAAUGCGUCGGAACGUGCCGAGUAGUGGGGGAUAACGCAUCGAAAGGUGUGCUAAUACCGCAUACGAACUGAGGUUGAAAGUGGGGGACCUUCGGGCCUCACGCUAUUCGAGCGGCCGACGUCUGAUUGGCUAGUUGGUGAGGUAAAGGCUCACCAAGGCGACGAUCAGUAGCGGGUCUGAGAGGAUGGUCCGCCACACUGGGACUGAGACACGGCCCAGACUCCUACGGGAGGCAGCAGUGGGGAAUUUUGGACAAUGGGCGCAAGCCUGAUCCAGCCAUGCCGCGUGUCUGAAGAAGGCCUUCGGGUUGUAAAGGACUUUUGUCCGGGAGCAAAUGCUGGUGGCUAACAUCCACCGGAGCUGAGAGUACCGGAAGAAUAAGCACCGGCUAACUACGUGCCAGCCGCCGCCGUAAGAC